rnacentral:rRNA from 1 species
AGUGAACGCUGGCGGCGUGCUUAACACAUGCAAGUCGAACGAGAACGGAAUAUAGCUUGCUAUAUUUGUCAGCUAAGUGGCGCACGGGUGAGUAAUGUAUAGAUAACCUGCCCUUAAGAAAGGAAUAACAGUUGGAAACGACUGCUAAUGCCCUAUAUGCCUUUAAUACAUAAGUAUGCAAGGGAAACGCUUUAGUGCUUAAGGAUGGGUCUGUAUGGUAUCAGCUUGUUGGUGAGGUAAUGGCUCACCAAGGCUAUGACGCCUAACUGGUUUGAGAGGAUAAUCAGUCACACUGGAACUGAGACACGGUCCAGACUCCUACGGGAGGCAGCAGUGGAGAAUAUUGCACAAUGGACGAAAGUCUGAUGCAGCAACGCCGCGUGGAGGAUGACACAUUUCGGUGCGUAAACUCCUUUUAUAUAGGAAGAUAAUGACGGUACUAUAUGAAUAAGCACCGGCUAACUCCGUGCCAGCCGCCGCGGUAA